rnacentral:tRNA from 1 species
CGGGGCGUAGCGCAGAGGAAGCGCACCGGCAUGGGGGGCCGGGGGUCCCGGGUUCGAGUCCCGGCGCCCCGACCA